rnacentral:rRNA from 1 species
AGUGAACGCUGGCGGUAGGCCUAACACAUGCAAGUCGAACGGCAGCACAGUAAGAGCUUGCUCUUACGGGUGGCGAGUGGCGGACGGGUGAGGAAUACAUCGGAAUCUACUUUUUCGUGGGGGAUAACGUAGGGAAACUUACGCUAAUACCGCAUACGACCUACGGGUGAAAGCAGGGGAUCUUCGGACCUUGCGCGAUUGAAUGAGCCGAUGUCGGAUUAGCUAGUUGGCGGGGUAAAGGCCCACCAAGGCGACGAUGCGUAGCUGGUCUGAGAGGAUGAUCAGCCACACUGGAACUGAGACACGGUCCAGACUCCUACGGGAGGCAGCAGUGGGGAAUAUUGGACAAUGGGCGCAAGCCUGAUCCAGCCAUACCGCGUGGGUGAAGAAGGCCUUCGGGUUGUAAAGCCCUUUUGUUGGGAAAGAAAAGCAGCAGGUUAAGACCCCGCUGUUCUGACGGUACCCAAAGAAUAAGCACCGGCUAACUUCGUG